UACGUAGGGUGCGAGCGUUGCCCGGAUUUAUUGGGCGUAAAGGGCGCGUAGGCGGUCACGCACGUCCGUUGUGAAAUCGAUCGGCUUAACUGGGCGGGGUCAGCGGAUACGGCGUGGCUGGAGCAAGCUAGGGGGCAAUGGAAUUCCCGGUGUAGUGGUGGAAUGCGUAGAUAUCGGGAGGAACACCAGUGGCGAAGGCGGUUGCCUGGAGCUUUGCUGACGCUGAUGCGCGAAAGCGUGGGGAGCGAUCCGG
rnacentral:rRNA from 1 species